rnacentral:rRNA from 1 species
AUUGAACGCUGGUGGCAGGCCUAACACAUGCAAGUCGAGCGGAGCGGCGGACGGGUGAGUAAUGCCUAGGAAUCUGCCUGGUAGUGGGGGAUAACGUCCGGAAACGGGCGCUAAUACCGCAUACUAUCAGAUGAGCCUAGGUCGGAUUAGCUAGUUGGUGGGGUAAAGGCCCACCAAGGCGACGAUCCGUAACUGGUCUGAGAGGAAUAUCAGUCACAAUGGAACUGAGACACGGUCCAGAUUCCGACGUGAGGCAGCAGCGGGGAAUAUUGGACAAUGGGCGAAAGCCUGAUCAAGCCAUGCCGCGUGUGUGAAGAAGGUCUUCGGAUUGAAAAGUACUUUAAGUUGGGAGGCGUUACCAACAGAAUAAGCACCGGAUAACGUCGUGCCAGCAGCCGCGGUAAUUC